GGAUGAAAGGCGUCGGUUGUCUAUGGCAUAUGAUGUGGCAAAGGGGAUGAAUUAUCUACAUAAACGCAAUCCUCCCAUCGUUCAUAGAGAUUUGAAAUCUCCAAAUCUUUUAGUGGACAAAAAAUACACAGUGAAGGUCUGUGAUUUUGGCCUUUCUCGUUUAAAAGCGAACACAUUUCUCUCGUCAAAGUCUGCUGCUGGGACUCCGGAAUGGAUGGCACCUGAAGUUCUUCGUGAUGAACCAUCAAAUGAGAAAUCUGAUGUAUACAGCUUUGGUGUUAUUUUGUGGGAGCUGGCAACGUUGCAACAGCCUUGGAGUAAUUUGAACCCAGCACAGGUUGUAGCAGCUGUGGGCUUUAAGGGGAAAAGACUCGACAUUCCACGUGACUUGACUCCUCAAGUGGCAAGCAUUAUAGAGGCUUGCUGGGCCAAAGAACCAUGGAAACGUCCCUCCUUUGCUGCAAUCAUGGAUAUGCUGAGACCACUAAUUAAACCUCCUGUAACACCUCCUCAACCAGGCCGUACAGACACGCAGUUGAUUGCGUGAAUGCGUGUAAUAGAUGUAUGAUUUCUGCACAUAUUUGGCAUUCUUUGUUAAUCAUCUUCUGGGAGGAACAAAUCUUUGUUUACUUCAGGUUCGUGUAUCCUGAAGUCUCUCUCUUCCUUCUGCUUAAAUUUUACAUUUGUCUUGAUGUACAC
rnacentral:misc_RNA from 1 species